rnacentral:rRNA from 1 species
UACGUAGGGUCCGAGCGUUGUCCGGAAUUACUGGGCGUAAAGAGCUCGUAGGUGGUUUGUCGUGUUGUUCGUGAAAACUCACAGCUCAACUGUGGGCGUGCGGGCGAUACGGGCAGACUAGAGUACUGCAGGGGAGACUGGAAUUCCUGGUGUAGCGGUGGAAUGCGCAGAUAUCAGGAGGAACACCGGUGGCGAAGGCGGGUCUCUGGGCAGUAACUGACGCUGGAGGAG